rnacentral:tRNA from 3 species
GCCGCUGUAGCUCAAUCGGUAGAGCACUCGCCUUGUAAGCGAACGGUUGCGGGUUCAAGUCCUGUCAGCGGCU